UGUUGAUCAUGAAAUUCUAUGUAAAACACUUCAAAUUUAUGGCUUCCAUGAAGAUACUGUUAAAUUUUUUAAAUCAUAUUUGAGUGAAAGAACACAGCAAGUCCAUAUAAAUAAUCAGUUUUCUGAUAAAAAGUUUAUAAAUUUUGGUGUUCCACAGGGCUCAAUACUUGGUCCCAUUUUGUUUGUUUUGUUCAUAAAUGACCUUCCAUUACACAUCAAAAACUGCCAUACAGACUUGUAUGCUGAUGACACAACUAUGCAUACAUCAGGAAAGACUAUUGGUGAUAUGCAAUUAAAAGUACAAGAUGAUCUCCAAUGUGUUGAAAAAUGGUGUCAUGAAAAUAGCAUGUUCAUAAAUUCAGAUAAGACGAAAUGCAUGGUUAUAGGUACAAGACAAAGGCUGCGUUUAAAUCAAGCAGACCCAGUUCUGACUAUUGAGAAUAAUAUUCUUCAAAAAUCAUCAAUUGAAAAACUUUUAGGUGAAAGAAUUGACUCUUAUCUGUCCUGGACAGGCCAUAUUAAUUACUUAUGUUCAUCUAUAUCAUCUAGACUUUAUUUACUCUCUAAAAUCAAGAAAUUUCUAAAUAUUG
rnacentral:lncRNA from 1 species